CUCACUUCGACGAUGAUUAAGACUCACUUCGACGGCGAACUGAAGCAACGUUUCCGAUGGAAAACUCGAUUUCGGACGGCGUGCAAGACAAAUUAAAUGGCACGAAAAAGAACAAGAUCAGAGGCAGAAGAGGAAGAGUCUAGAAGGGAUAUACGUGAAGCUGAAACCAGAACUUAUCAUCAGAAUAUGAAUGAGGAGGAAGUGGAAGGUGAAACAAGCAAUAGAAUGAAUAUCGAUGAAGAACUAAGAGGACCAGGAGGUGAAGUUCUGGUAAAGCUAAACAAGGGGGUAAAUGUCCUGCUGUUCAGAUUAAAGGUCCUGCAACAAGAAUAGGCCCUUGGCUGUGUGUUGAGAAUUUCCUUACAUCAGUUCGAGGAGGUAAAAAAGAGAUGACCGAUAGAUGUUGAGAAGAUGGUUGCGGAGUACAAGAAACCAUGAACAAUAAAUUAACUCUUGGCUUUUCUGAACAUGAAUGAAAUCUUGGAUGUGUGAAUGAACUUAGUACUGAAACAUGUAAUUUUGCAGUUUUAAUUUGAUUUGACUUUUUUUGCGUA